rnacentral:tRNA from 1 species
GCGCCGGUAGUCUAGUGGAAGGACAGGAGCUUCCCAAGCUCCUAAUGCGGGUCCGAUUCCCGCCCGGCGCA